AGUGAACGCUGGCGGUAGGCCUAACACAUGCAAGUCGAACGGCAGCACAGUAAGAGCUUGCUCUUACGGGUGGCGAGUGGCGGACGGGUGAGGAAUACAUCGGAAUCUACUUUUUCGUGGGGGAUAACGUAGGGAAACUUACGCUAAUACCGCAUACGACCUACGGGUGAAAGCAGGGGAUCUUCGGACCUUGCGCGAUUGAAUGAGCCGAUGUCGGAUUAGCUAGUUGGGGGGGUAAAGGCCCACCAAGGCGACGAUCCGUAGCUGGUCUGAGAGGAUGAUCAGCCACACUGGAACUGAGACACGGUCCAGACUCCUACGGGAGGCAGCAGUGGGGAAUAUUGGACAAUGGGCGCAAGCCUGAUCCAGCCAUACCGCGUGGGUGAAGAAGGCCUUCGGGUUGUAAAGCCCUUUUGUUGGGAAAGAAAAGCAGCAGGUUAAUACCCCGCCGUUCUGACGGUACCCAAAGAAUAAGCACCGGCUAACUUCGUG
rnacentral:rRNA from 1 species